GAAAGUAGUGGCGAGCGAAAUCGGAACAGCCUGCACGUUUUAGCAAUCGACUUAUCAGAACGGUCUGGAAAGUCCGGCCACAGCGGGUGAUAGCCCCGUAUGGAAAAAGUCGGUUGUGGAACUAGGCGUGCGACAAGUAGGGCGGGACACGUGUAAUCCUGUCUGAAUAUGGGGGGACCAUCCUCCAAGGCUAAAUACUCGUAAUCGACCGAUAGCGAACAAGUACCGUGAGGGAAAGGCGAAAAGAACCCCGGGAGGGGAGUGAAAUAGAUCCUGAAACCGCAUGCAUACAAAAAGUCGGAGCCCGCAAGGGUGACGGCGUACCUUUUGUAUAAUGGGUCAGCGACUUACAUUCAGUGGCAAGCUUAACCGAAUAGGGAAGGCGCAGGGAAACCGAGUCCGAAUAGGGCGUUCAGUCGCUGGGUGUAGACCCGAAACCAGGUGAUCUAUCCAUGGCCAGGAUGAAGGUACCGUAACAGGUGCUGGAGGUCCGAACCGACUAGUGUUGCAAAACUAGCGGAUGAGCUGUGGAUAGGGGUGAAAGGCUAAA
rnacentral:rRNA from 1 species